UCCGAUGUGGUGUAGUGGCUAUCAUACUGCGCUUUCAUGGUCUACCAUUAAAGCUUCCGCAGGGAUCGGGGUUCGAUUCCCCGCAUCGGAG